GGAACCGUAGCUCAGGGGUUGAGUGCAAACUAAAAAUCCGCGUGACGCUGGUUCGAGUCCAGUCGGUUCCUCCA
rnacentral:tRNA from 1 species